GCGCCUGUAGCUCAGGUGGAUAGAGCAGCUGCCUUCUAAGCAGCGGGUCGCACGUUCGAGUCGUGCCAGGCGCGCCA
rnacentral:tRNA from 4 species